rnacentral:sRNA from 1 species
GCAUUUUAUGUAAUAUUCUACCAUUUAUAAGGUUGUUUAUUUUUAAUGAUUCCCAAUCUACUCUAUUAUUUGAGACGUACGUUAAGUGAUUCUCGGUUAAAA